rnacentral:tRNA from 1 species
GCGUGUUUCGUCUAGUGGCUUAGGACUCCUCCCGCGAAGGGAGGUAACACGGGUUCGAAUCCCGUAGCACGCU